UUUGUAAAACGUUUGAACACCUUCGGGUACUGAACUGGGGUUCUGCGGUUCUCGACCAAUUUCCACCCGGAUUAGAAAAUUUAUUCCUUUUGAAGUAUUUGCAAUUGAAUAUCCCUUCGCUCAAAUGCCUUCCUUCGCUGCUAUGCACCCUUUUAAACCUUCAAACACUAGAAAUGCCAUCUAGCUACAUAGAUCAUUCACCAGAGGGUAUUUGGAUGAUGCAAAAACUCAUGCAUCUGAACUUCGGUUGCAUCACUCUGCCUGCACCUCCCAAAAAUUAUUCCAGUUCUCUGAAAAAUCUCAUUUUCAUAUCAGCCUUACACCCUAGUAGUUGUACUCCAGAUAUAUUGGGCAGACUACCUAAUGUGCAAAGUCUUAGAAUAUCUGGGGAUUUGAGUCACUAUCAUUCCGGGGUUUCCAAAAGCCUGUGCGAACUACACAAACUUGAAUGCCUGAAAUUGGUGAAUGAAAGCAAGCUCUCACGGAUGGUCCUGUCUGAAUACCAAUUUCCUCCAAGUCUGGUCCAACUGAGCUUAUCAAAUACUGAGCUAAUGGAGGAUCCCAUGCCAAUACUGGAGAGGCUUCCGCGUCUUCAAGUGCUGAAACUGAAGCGAAACUCGUAUUUAGGAAGAAAGUUGGCCUGCGUUGGCUCUGGUGGCUUUCCAGAACUUAAGGUUUUGCACCUGAAAUCAAUGUAUUGGCUAGAUGAGUGGACGAUGGCGGCAGGAGCAAUGCCAAAACUUGAAAGCUUAAUUGUCAACCCAUGUGCUUACUUGAGAAAGCUCCCAGAAGAGCUGUGGUGCAUAAAGAGCUUGCGCAAAUUGGAUUUACAUUGGCCUCAGACAGAGUUGAGACAGAGGCUACGGACUUUCGAGGAUAUGGAGUGGCGGUAUGACAUCCAGUUAUAUCCUUACGGAAUCUGAUGGAUGGAAUUGGGUGAGUUUUAAUCAUAUCUGAACUGGGGUUCUGCAGUUCUCGAUCAAUAUCCACCCGGAUUAGAAAAUUUAUUCUAUUUGAAGUACUUGAAAUUGAAUAUCCCUUCGCUCAAAUGUCUUCCUUUUAAACCUUCAAACACUAGAAAUGCCAUCUAGCUACAUAGAUCAUUCACCAGAGGAUAUUUGGAUGAUGCAAAAACUCAUCCAUCUGAACUUUGGUUCCAUCACUCUGCCUGCACCUCCAAAAAAUUAUUACCGCUCUCUGAAAAAUCUCAUUUUCAU
rnacentral:lncRNA from 1 species